UCUCCUCAAUAGACUCGCAUCAUCUGGUGUCCAUGCCGUCACAACGCCCGAGCUGAUGCAAGCAGUCACUGCAGCCGCGAUUUUCUCGUCAGGGACAGGAGACACAAGCCAUGAUACUCUGAACAAACCCUUUGUGGACAAGAAUGUAUUCACGGUCGGUAUGUCCACAUCAAACUCGCUGAGUAGCUCUGAAAGCCGCUUCCCCUGGAGGAAGGACAGGAGAACGGCCAUCUACCGCAACCUCACCGACGGCGUCACUGCCUCGUCCGGCGGCAGCAAUGACAAUUUCAAGGUCUUCCUUGCGAAAGCCAAGACAAACGCAGCCGUGCUCAAAGAAGAGAAGGCCGCGACCACGUUCGCCCGG
rnacentral:sRNA from 2 species